rnacentral:rRNA from 1 species
AUUGAACGCUGGCGGCAGGCCUAACACAUGCAAGUCGAACGAGUGGCGGACGGGUGAGUAAUGUCUGGGAAACUGCCUGAUGGAGGGGGAUAACUACGGGAAACGGUAGCUAAUACCGCAUAACAUCAGAUGUGCCCAGAUGGGAUUAGCUUGUUGGUGGGGUAACGGCUCACCAAGGCGACGAUCCCUAGCUGGUCUGAGAGGAUGACCCGCCACACUGGAACUGAGACACGGUCCAGCCUCCUACGCGAGGCAGCAGUGGUGAAUAUUGCCCUCUGGGCGCAAUACUGAUGCAGCCAUGCCGCGUGUUUGAAGAAGUCCUUCGGGUUGUAAAGUACUUUCAGCGGGGAGGCGUGACCCGCAGAAGAAGCACCGGCUAACUCCGUGCCAGCAGCCGCGGUAAUA